rnacentral:rRNA from 1 species
AACGAACGCUGGCGGCAUGCCUAACACAUGCAAGUCGAACGAGACCUUCGGGUCUAGUGGCGCACGGGUGCGUAACGCGUGGGAACCUGCCCUUAGGUUCGGAAUAACUCCCCGAAAGGGGUGCUAAUACCGGAUAAUGUCUUCGGACCAAAGAUUUAUCGCCUUUGGAUGGGCCCGCGUUGGAUUAGCUAGUUGGUAGGGUAAAAGCCUACCAAGGCGACGAUCCAUAGCUGGUCUGAGAGGAUGAUCAGCCACACUGGGACUGAGACACGGCCCAGACUCCUACGGGAGGCAGCGGUGGGGAAGAUUGGACAAUGGGCGAAAGCCUGAUCCAGCAAUGCCGCGUGAGGGAUGAAGGCGUUAGGGUUGUAAAGCUCUUUUACCCGGGAUGAUAAUGACAGUACCGGGAGAAUAAACUCCGGCUAACUCCGUG